rnacentral:rRNA from 1 species
GACGAACGCUGGCGGCGUGCCUAAUACAUGCAAGUAGAACGCACAGUUUAUACCGUAGCUUGCUACACCAUAAACUGUGAGUUGCGAACGGGUAAGUAACGCGUAGGUAACCUGCCUGGUAGCGGGGGAUAACUAUUGGAAACGAUAGCUAAUACCGCAUAAUAUUAAUUAUUGCAUGAUAAUUGAUUGAAAGAUGCAAUUGCAUCACUACCAGAUGGACCUGCGUUGUAUUAGCUAGUAGGUGAGGUAACGGCUCACCUAGUCGAAGAUACAUAGCCGACCUGAGAGGGUGAUCGGCCACAAUGGGAAUGAGACACGGCCCAGACUCCUUAGGGAGGCAGCAGUAGGGAAUCUUCGGAAAUGGAGGAAAGUCUGAACGAGCAAAGCCGCGUGAGUGAAGAAGGUUUUCGGAUUGUAAAGCUAUGUUGUAAGAGAAGAAAGGGUGUGAGAGUGGAAAGUUCACACUGUGACGGUAUCUUACCAGAAAGGGACGGCUAACUACGUG